rnacentral:rRNA from 1 species
CCUACGGGAGGCAGCAGUGAGGAAUAUUGGUCAAUGGACGAGAGUCUGAACCAGCCAAGUAGCGUGAAGGAUGACUGCCCUAUGGGUUGUAAACUUCUUUUAUAUGGGAAUAAAACGAGCCACGUGUGCCGUUUUGUAUGUACUUUAUGAAUAAGGAUCGGCUAACUCCGUGCCAGCAGCCGCGGUAAUACGGAGGAUCCGAGCGUUAUCCGGAUUUAUUGGGUUUAAAGGGAGCGUAGGUGGGUUGUUAAGUCAGUUGUGAAAGUUUGCGGCUCAACCGUAAAAUUGCAAUUGAUACUGGCAGUCUUGAGUACAGUAGAGGUGAGCGGAAUUCGUGGUGUAGCGGUGAAAUGCUUAGAUAUCACGAAGAACCCCGAUUGCGAAGGCAGCUUACUAGACUGUAACUGACACUGAGGCUCGAAAGUGUGGGUAUCAAACAGGAUUAGAUACCCCUGUAGUC